ACCUCCGCGAGUUUUAUGACUUAAAAAAGCCCACAGGCUGGUCUGAAGAGGAAGACAAACAUAAAGAUGAAGUGCUUAAUUCAAGGUCACACAAUGUCGGGGAUGGACCUCCAGAUUUCCUUACUGGUGAGACGUGGUCUUGUAACACAGUGGUUAAGAAUGUGACUUUGGAGCCAGCCUGCUAGGGGCUGAAUUCUGACUCAGCCAUUUACUAACUGUGUGACCUUAGGGAGGAGGACCUGGUUGAUAGAAGAAUUUAUCUCGUAGUCUUAACAUCCACUGUAAUUCCAAACUUUGAGGACGAUAGAGAUCAGUGGGCUUUGACUGCCCAGCAUGCAGUCUCCAUUCUUAGGUCACAGAAUUUUCCACACUCCUUGACAGAGGUGCUUAACCCUUAUCCAUCAGCAUUCUCAGACAGCACCUCCGGUUAGGGACAGUAUCUGACCGUCCGACAUCCCUGCAGCCCCCAUGUGUCACACAGACUCAGCCUCAGGUAGAUGGUUUCCGUAGAUGGUGGCUUUCUUUGGACCCUUGACAUCAACCAGUUACUAUUUGGGGACCAGAUGUGCAGAGGUAAUGAAUACCAGGGAAUCA
rnacentral:lncRNA from 10 species